rfam:Paenibacillus popilliae ATCC 14706 DNA, contig: contig526.
GGAGUCCCAUCAGGAAAAAGCCUAACCAGCAGUCCUGUAGCUAGUUCUUGGAGGUUAUUCGGUAACGAAAAACUUUAAGCGUAGAACGGCAAAAUAGCGGGCCGAAAGCGAAAGCUGAAGUGAUGGAGCCUCGAAAAUAUAAGUGGAGACAGGCCGAUGUGGUUACACACACAGAAGGCAAUAUCGGUUCGAGCGUUUUGGUGAGUUUGAAUCGGCACUCCGGGGUCUGAGAGCU